rnacentral:misc_RNA from 1 species
GAUGAAGAACGCAGCAAAAUGCGAUAAGUAAUGUGAAUUGCAGAAUUCAGUGAAUCAUCGAAUCUUUGAACGCACAUUGCGCCCGCCAGUAUUCUGGCGGGCAUGCCUGUUCGAGCGUCAUUUCAACCCUCAAGCACAGCUUGGUGUUGGGACUCGCGUUAAUUCGCGUUCCCCAAAUUGAUUGGCGGUCACGUCGAGCAUCCAUAGCGUAGUAGUAAAACCCUCGUUACUGGUAAUCGUCGCGGCCACGCCGUUAAACCCCAACUUCUGAAUGUUGACCUCGGAUCAGGUAGGAAUACCCGCUGAACUUAAGCAUAUCAAUAAGCGGAGGA